CUCGCUGAGGCGCUGCGAGAGCCUGGGGAGCUGCGUUGUCAGCCCGUCUGGGGGCUUCGCAAUGGUUUUCCCCUCCUCGGGGCUGAUCUGGGCCUUGUCAGUGCGAAUGGGGCUGUUUAACAGUGCCGUGUAGAUGUGCUUCAUUUUGUACAGGUCUGGAGGCGGGAUCCGCAUCUCCAGACGGCUCCUCUUAAAUCUGAGUGAAGUCUGAAAAUAAGCACUUCCAGAUCGCAUCUGUGUGGAAUUUUCAAAGAAAGCACGGCCGAACAGGAAUGAAAAUGCACCUGGAACCCUGCGAACAGUGGGAGAUAGCAUUCUCAGUUGGAUUUUAGGGAAGAUUUCUUCUCAGAAAGAGCAGUGAGGUGUUGGAAUGAGCUGCCCAGGGACUGGGUGGCAUCACCAUCCCGGGAGGUGUCCAAGAACCAUGGAGAUGUGGCACCAAGGGACAUGGUACAGGAUCCUGUGACCUGGAGAUGUUGGAUCCAGCCACAACAGGAGAUGCAGAUCAGAUUGUGCUGUCUUGUUACCAAAGCAUUCCAAGUAUGGGGCCAUCGACAGUGCCUGUCCCUGGAGAUGGAGAGCCUGUUAAAUCUCUCUGUCCUCUCUGCCUGGACUGAAAUGUCAUCCUUAUGAGAAAGCCUCACACUCUGCCUUCAGUCACAGACUUCUCCGUCAGUUCUUCUAGUUCAGUAAUCUCCUCUGGACUAGGAUAAGAUGGGCGAUGUGACCGAGAGGAAAUGAACAACAUUUCAUGUGCCAUACGUGUAAAUAAGCCCCGUCUGUUCCUGAGAUGCGCUGUUGUUCUCUUCCCACUGAGC
ensembl:lncRNA